AGCUGCAGGGAGGUACCAGCAGCCAGGAUACCGCCAAGGCGGGUAAAUCCAGCCCGGUAUCCUGCUGCUCACAGCAGCCAGCCAGGCGCCUGCAGGAAGCCCACGAACAGGAUCCGAGGCCAACCGCACCCUCCUAGUGCGGCUCAUCCUGGGCACCUGCUACUCAGAGCGAUACUCUCCCCACCGUGGCAAGGAUUCCAGGGCCAGCAGAACGGUGAAAAAGGGGUAACUCUGGGGUCAGUCUGAAGGGCAAUGAAUGACUAACUAACUAACCGAUGACCCAGACUUGCCCUCGCAAUUAGCACCAGUCACGGGUUCUCUUUCGAGCUACGCUGAAGAUGGCAACCGCAAAGGUUUGGACCCUCCUCGGUUUAAAGAUAAGAGCGAAGAGCCUGGCCCAGCAUCCUCUUCCAACGCGGGCCAGCCGAACGCUUCAAGGGCGGCGCAAGAAAGGCAUGAAGGCUGCAGCUGCUCGUCCCCGGCAUUUUGCAUUCAGAGGUAGACCGCCUCGGGCCCUGGAAGCGCGGCUACCACGAACCUGCCCUCGAGCGCCUCCCCUCCUCCUCCUGAGCGCCCUAUGGGCAGAGGGGGGUGACGGGGAAAGCCAGUGUCCCGCAGCAGGAGGUCCCCGGGCCGGAAGAACUCCCACUUCUGACGUCACCACAUCUUGUAGCGGGGCGUUCCGUCAGAUACCCCCGCGCAUGCACCGGGAUUGAAGCCAACUAGCAAAGCAAUCCAACUCCUGGGAAUCCAGCAGAAGGGACGCUGGCAGAGGAGGAGCCGGCCAGACGGUCUGAGGCAUCAGUUUUGCAUUCGGGAGUUGCUGGGCCAGCUGAACACAGACUCAGCCGGGAGCUGCAUGCAGGGACCAGAAAGUGACGUACCGGCUCUCACAAAUACCCUUACUGGGGAGUAAGAGCUCUCUAUAGACUUCCAUUUUUUAAACCUGAAGGAGAGGGGCGGAGAAGGAAGCAUCCACAGAAGGCAGAGUUUUCAAAUUGUGUCACAUUAAGCUUCUGUAAGUAAUGGAUGAAGAGACUCUGAGGAUCAUUGGAUGAAGAUAUUAUACAAACGAUCCAUGGUGGUAUACUGAUCCUGACAGGAUGGGAGCUCUAGCGCUCCCUAAAAAUGAAUAGAGUUCAUAUUGUAUUAAAAUAUACUAACUUUAAAAUACUGCAUUUCUACUUCUAAGACAUGAUAUAGUUUUCAUCUAUAUCAAUAAAUAAAACAAUUAGGGAAUCUAAUUAAGCAAGCAGCAGAUUUAUCUUUUCUCCUCGUUGGAGGAGGGGGCAGGAAUGUCAUUGUUUCCAGAAUCCCAAUGAAUAAUUCCAUCAGAAAAUGAGGGUGCAUAUCCUGUACAAACAAGUGUUGUGUAUACUGUAAAAUCACAGGACAUUAGAUAUUUCGCAAAUAUAUUUUUAAAAAAGAAAUGGUGCCAUAUAAUUGCACAUAUUCACAACUGGGUUUAUCUAAGAAAACUGCAAAGACCUGUGGCAUAAUUUCUAGAAAUGGCCAGCAACUACAAUGAAUUCACUUUGUACCUAAGAUGCUAAAAAGCAAAAAUAAAAUGCCUCCCAAUCCCAAUACAGACCUAAUGAGGCUAAGUGAGCCAA